rnacentral:rRNA from 3 species
UUAAGCGACUAAGCGUACACGGUGGAUGCCCUGGCAGUCAGAGGCGAUGAAGGACGUGCUAAUCUGCGAUAAGCGUCGGUAAGGUGAUAUGAACCGUUAUAACCGGCGAUUUCCGAAUGGGGAAACCCAGUGUGUUUCGACACACUAUCAUUAACUGAAUCCAUAGGUUAAUGAGGCGAACCGGGGGAACUGAAACAUCUAAGUACCCCGAGGAAAAGAAAUCAACCGAGAUUCCCCCAGUAGCGGCGAGCGAACGGGGAGCAGCCCAGAGCCUGAAUCAGUGUGUGUGUUAGUGGAAGCGUCUGGAAAGGCGCGCGAUACAGGGUGACAGCCCCGUACACAAAAAUGCACAUGCUGUGAGCUCGAUGAGUAGGGCGGGACACGUGGUAUCCUGUCUGAAUAUGGGGGGACCAUCCUCCAAGGCUAAAUACUCCUGACUGACCGAUAGUGAACCAGUACCGUGAGGGAAAGGCGAAAAGAACCCCGGCGAGGGGAGUGAAAAAGAACCUGAAACCGUGUACGUACAAGCAGUGGGAGCACGCUUAGGCGUGUGACUGCGUACCUUUUGUAUAAUGGGUCAGCGACUUAUAUUCUGUAGCAAGGUUAACCGAAUAGGGGAGCCGAAGGGAAACCGAGUCUUAACUGGGCGUUAAGUUGCAGGGUAUAGACCCGAAACCCGGUGAUCUAGCCAUGGGCAGGUUGAAGGUUGGGUAACACUAACUGGAGGACCGAACCGACUAAUGUUGAAAAAUUAGCGGAUGACUUGUGGCUGGGGGUGAAAGGCCAAUCAAACCGGGAGAUAGCUGGUUCUCCCCGAAAGCUAUUUAGGUAGCGCCUCGUGAAUUCAUCUCCGGGGGUAGAGCACUGUUUCGGCAAGGGGGUCAUCCCGACUUACCAACCCGAUGCAAACUGCGAAUACCGGAGAAUGUUAUCACGGGAGACACACGGCGGGUGCUAACGUCCGUCGUGAAGAGGGAAACAACCCAGACCGCCAGCUAAGGUCCCAAAGUCAUGGUUAAGUGGGAAACGAUGUGGGAAGGCCCAGACAGCCAGGAUGUUGGCUUAGAAGCAGCCAUCAUUUAAAGAAAGCGUAAUAGCUCACUGGUCGAGUCGGCCUGCGCGGAAGAUGUAACGGGGCUAAACCAUGCACCGAAGCUGCGGCAGCGACGCUGAUGCGUUGUUGGGUAGGGGAGCGUUCUGUAAGCCUGCGAAGGUGUGCUGUGAGGCAUGCUGGAGGUAUCAGAAGUGCGAAUGCUGACAUAAGUAACGAUAAAGCGGGUGAAAAGCCCGCUCGCCGGAAGACCAAGGGUUCCUGUCCAACGUUAAUCGGGGCAGGGUGAGUCGACCCCUAAGGCGAGGCCGAAAGGCGUAGUCGAUGGGAAACAGGUUAAUAUUCCUGUACUUGGUGUUACUGCGAAGGGGGGACGGAGAAGGCUAUGUUGGCCGGGCGACGGUUGUCCCGGUUUAAGCGUGUAGGCUGGUUUUCCAGGCAAAUCCGGAAAAUCAAGGCUGAGGCGUGAUGACGAGGCACUACGGUGCUGAAGCAACAAAUGCCCUGCUUCCAGGAAAAGCCUCUAAGCAUCAGGUAACAUCAAAUCGUACCCCAAACCGACACAGGUGGUCAGGUAGAGAAUACCAAGGCGCUUGAGAGAACUCGGGUGAAGGAACUAGGCAAAAUGGUGCCGUAACUUCGGGAGAAGGCACGCUGAUAUGUAGGUGAAGCGACUUGCUCGUGGAGCUGAAAUCAGUCGAAGAUACCAGCUGGCUGCAACUGUUUAUUAAAAACACAGCACUGUGCAAACACGAAAGUGGACGUAUACGGUGUGACGCCUGCCCGGUGCCGGAAGGUUAAUUGAUGGGGUCAGCGCAAGCGAAGCUCUUGAUCGAAGCCCCGGUAAACGGCGGCCGUAACUAUAACGGUCCUAAGGUAGCGAAAUUCCUUGUCGGGUAAGUUCCGACCUGCACGAAUGGCGUAAUGAUGGCCAGGCUGUCUCCACCCGAGACUCAGUGAAAUUGAACUCGCUGUGAAGAUGCAGUGUACCCGCGGCAAGACGGAAAGACCCCGUGAACCUUUACUAUAGCUUGACACUGAACAUUGAGCCUUGAUGUGUAGGAUAGGUGGGAGGCUUUGAAGUGUGGACGCCAGUCUGCAUGGAGCCGACCUUGAAAUACCACCCUUUAAUGUUUGAUGUUCUAACGUGGACCCGUGAUCCGGGUUGCGGACAGUGUCUGGUGGGUAGUUUGACUGGGGCGGUCUCCUCCUAAAGAGUAACGGAGGAGCACGAAGGUUGGCUAAUCCUGGUCGGACAUCAGGAGGUUAGUGCAAUGGCAUAAGCCAGCUUGACUGCGAGCGUGACGGCGCGAGCAGGUGCGAAAGCAGGUCAUAGUGAUCCGGUGGUUCUGAAUGGAAGGGCCAUCGCUCAACGGAUAAAAGGUACUCCGGGGAUAACAGGCUGAUACCGCCCAAGAGUUCAUAUCGACGGCGGUGUUUGGCACCUCGAUGUCGGCUCAUCACAUCCUGGGGCUGAAGUAGGUCCCAAGGGUAUGGCUGUUCGCCAUUUAAAGUGGUACGCGAGCUGGGUUUAGAACGUCGUGAGACAGUUCGGUCCCUAUCUGCCGUGGGCGCUGGAGAACUGAGGGGGGCUGCUCCUAGUACGAGAGGACCGGAGUGGACGCAUCACUGGUGUUCGGGUUGUCAUGCCAAUGGCACUGCCCGGUAGCUAAAUGCGGAAGAGAUAAGUGCUGAAAGCAUCUAAGCACGAAACUUGCCCCGAGAUGAGUUCUCCCUGACUCCUUGAGAGUCCUGAAGGAACGUUGAAGACGACGACGUUGAUAGGCCGGGUGUGUAAGCGCAGCGAUGCGUUGAGCUAACCGGUACUAAUGAACCGUGAGGCUUAACCUU